ACGAACGCUGGCGGCGUGCCUAAUACAUGCAAGUAGAGCGCUGAAGGAGGAGCUUGCUUCUCUGGAUGAGUUGCGAACGGGUGAGUAACGCGUAGGUAACCUGCCUGGUAGCGGGGGAUAACUAUUGGAAACGAUAGCUAAUACCGCAUAAUGGUAGAUGUUGCAUGACAUUUGCUUAAAAGGUGCAAUUGCAUCACUACCAGAUGGACCUGCGUUGUAUUAGCUAGUUGGUGGGGUAACGGCUCACCAAGGCGACGAUACAUAGCCGACCUGAGAGGGUGAUCGGCCACACUGGGACUGAGACACGGCCCAGACUCCUACGGGAGGCAGCAGUAGGGAAUCUUCGGCAAUGGACGGAAGUCUGACCGAGCAACGCCGCGUGAGUGAAGAAGGUUUUCGGAUCGUAAAGCUCUGUUGUAAGAGAAGAACGAGUGUGAGAGUGGAAAGUUCACACUGUGACGGUAUCUUACCAGAAAGGGACGGCUAACUACGUG
rnacentral:rRNA from 1 species